GAGAGAGGGUAACGAAGAACCUUCUCACGGCGGGUGCAGGAGACAGAGGAGCAGAGAAUGAAAAACAAAAACCCACCGUUGCCCCCUCCUGCUUCCGGCCUAGCGAAGGACCGGAGUAGCGCCGGAGGCUCAUUACCAAGACUGCCCGCUUGUCCGCCUCGAACUGUGCCUGAUCGAUGUCGCUGAGGCCGUGCGGUGAGAGGGUCGAGCCGCUGGCCGGGCCUGUCGAUGCGGUGGUGAUUGGCCCACUGCCAGGACCGUUGUUGCUGGUGCUGGUGCCGGUAGUGCCGCCGCUGCUGCUUCCAUUGCUGCUGCCACUGGUGCUGUUGACUGCGCUUCCGACCACGCCGGCACUUCCGGGGCCGGUGGUGCCGAUCGUGCCCAGUCCGGAUGCCGUCACCGCCGACACCGGAACUGCCGUGACGCUGUUUUCUUGCAUUCUUGUGCCUCUCUCUUUUUCUUUUUCUUCGUUUAUCACUGCAGGUAUCGGUUGAUAUUGCUGCACGGGAGAUAGCUUGGGAUUGAUGCCGAGUUUGAUGCGGAUCACUUCAAAGUAUUCAUCUUGAAGAACGCUUUUCCAUUUCUUCCUUCAAUAGUGUUUAAUGGCGGAUCAGCAGAAGCACUCUCGAACUCAUCUAUAUUUGACUGUUUAAAUCGUCCAGCGAUUUUGUCCACAGCACUUCGUCCCUUUAGUCGUAAGAGUCCAACACAUUAUGACAUCUGUAAUGUAGAAAAAAACGAAAUAAAUAUUAGAUUAACUUCGAAUUGAUGCAAUUGCUUCAAAAGUAA